rnacentral:lncRNA from 1 species
GGUAUUAAAGCUAAAUAAAUAAUUAAACUGUACUGUGUGACUUUAUAGAUGUAUAAUUGGUUAAGGUUUCCAAUGGAGCCCGAGUCUGAUACAGUGUUGGUCUGUUAUUGUUUGAUCUAAUUUUUAGUAUUAAAUGCAGCAUGAUGUUUGAUGUAAUUAUGUUAUGAUCUCGUAUGCAUGAAUCAUGGUUUCUUUUAUUAUGGUUUGUAUUAUGGUGAACCUGGUACUGUAUUGUCUUAUUUGGUGUCAAUUACU